GAUGAACGCUGGCGGCGUGCUUAACACAUGCAAGUCGAACGGGAAACCUUUUAAUGAAGCUUCGGCAGAUUUAGCUGGUUUCUAGUGGCGAACGGGUGAGUAACGCGUGGGUAACCUGCCUUAUACAGGGGGAUAACAGUCAGAAAUGACUGCUAAUACCGCAUAAGCGCACAGGACCGCAUGGUCCGGUGUGAAAAACUCCGGUGGUAUAAGAUGGACCCGCGUUGGAUUAGCUUGUUGGUGGGGUAACGGCUCACCAAGGCGACGAUCCAUAGCCGGCCUGAGAGGGUGAACGGCCACAUUGGGACUGAGACACGGCCCAGACUCCUACGGGAGGCAGCAGUGGGGAAUAUUGCACAAUGGGGGAAACCCUGAUGCAGCGACGCCGCGUGAAGGAAGAAGUAUCUCGGUAUGUAAACUUCUAUCAGCAGGGAAGAUAGUGACGGUACCUGACGAAGAAGCCCCGGCUAACUACGUG
rnacentral:rRNA from 1 species